CCCGCCUCGCAGCCAAUGGUAACAGCCUCUCGUGAAGGCGUUCCCGCCCCCUCUCCUAUGAGCAUCCGGCCUGUUUCGGCGCUUACAGUUUUUCUUCCUGUGUCUCUCCCGCCUCCUUUCUCUUGGAGCCAAUGGCAGCGUGCCGCUGGGCUCUUCCCCUCCCCUUCCGGAGGCCUACGCUGGUGGCGUUGGCUAGCAACGGCGGAGGCGAUGGACGCUGCAGUGCAGCAGGCCCUGCUCAACUACUACUGCCAGGAAUGCUACUUCCACCACGUCCGGGCUGCGGCGGAGGAGGCGCUGGGCCGGCUGGGCAGCGACCCGGUGUUCCAAUUCUACCGGGCGUACGGCGCGCUGCGCACAGGUGAUGUCCAAGAGAGUAUUCGACAACUGGAAUCCAUUAAGAACAAACAGGAGGUGUCACUUUGUGCAAUGAUGGCGCUGAUCUACGCCCACAAAAGAAGCCCUAAUCCAGAUCGGGAUGCUAUUCUAGAGUUGGAUACAAAACUGAAGGAGCAACGUAAAACAGCAGGACAGCAGGCUCUUUACUUCGCUGGCUUAUUUUUGUGGCAUCUUGGUCGUGAAGACAAAGCCCGUGAAUACGUUGAUAGGGUGAUCAAAGUUUCUAAUGGAGAAAAAGAGGGAUUGAUUCUGAAAGCAUGGCUUGAUCUCACUUGUGGGAAAGAAACUCAUAUUAAAAAAGCUUUGAAGUACUUUGAUGAAGCGCUUCAGGAAGGGAAUGAUGUUUUUGCUCUCCUUGGUAAAGCACAGUAUUUUGAGAUCCGACAGAAUUAUUCAGGAGCUCUGGAAAUGGUGAACCAGAUAAUUGCAAACUUUCCAAACUUCAUUCCUGCUUUCAUAAAGAAAAUGAAGCUGCAACUAGCCUUGCAGGACUGGGAGCAGGCAGUUGAAACUGCACAUAGACUAUUGCAGAAAGAUGCUCUCAAUUUAGAGGCCACAAGAAUGGAGGCCCUGCAUUUUCUGUGCAGAGAAGGAAAGAUGCGUGAGGCUUCGGCAAGACUAAGUGACCUCAUUAAAGCAUUGGACAGGUUGGAGCCGCGUAAUUCACAGCUCUUCUAUAAAAUGGCUUUAGCUUUCAGUAGAACAUGUGGCCGGAACCAACUCAUCCUUCAACAUACACAAACAUUAGUUGAAAGAGCAUUUAAUUUGGAUUCUGACAAUGCAGAAUUUGCUACGGAGCUUGGCUACCAAAUGAUUUUACAAGGGAAAGUGAAAGAAGCUUUAAAAUGGUAUCAGACUGCUAUGACACUUGAUGAGACAAGCGUUUCUGCCCUAACUGGAAUUAUUCGUUGUCAGCUAAUACAAGGGCAGCUGGAAGAUGCAGAACAGCAGCUGGAGUUUCUUAAUGAAAUCCAACAGUCCAUUGGAAAAUCUGGGGAAUUAUCUUUCUUGCGUGCGGUCCUUGCUAUGAAGAAGCAUAAGAGACAAGAAGAAGUGAUUGCCUUGCUGAACGAUGUUCUGGAUACCCACUUCUCAGCUUUGCAUGGUUUUCCUCUUGGUGUGGAGUAUUUUGAAAAACUGAAUCCUGAUUUCCUGCUAGAAAUUACUAGGGAAUAUCUUAAUUUUUGCCCAGCAGAGCCUGCAAGUCCUGGGCAGUCUCCUUCACCACUUCUCAAGCACUGUGCUUCUGUUCUUGAAACUGUGGUAAAAACUGUGCCAGGUCUUCAACAAGCUGUUUUUUUAAUUGCAAAGGUGAAAUAUUUAUCAGGGGAUAUUGAAGCAGCCCACACUAAUCUUCGUUACUGUCUGGAAAGGGAUCCUUCUUAUGCAGAUGCACACUUACUGAUGGCCCAGGUCUAUUUGGCUCAGAACAAUCCUAAACUGUGUUCUCAAUCCCUGGAACUCUGCCUGAGCUACAAUUUUGAGGUGAGAGAGCAUCCGGUUUAUCACUUAAUUAAGGCUCAAACCCAGAAGAAGAUGGGUGAAUUAUCAGAAGCUAUCAAGACCUUACAGAUGGCGAGGAAUUUGCCUGGGAUGAGAAAACAUACAGCUUCCUCAAAGACGAAAGGAAAAAGAAUUGAAAUUGAUGCAAGUGAUCGUGUGGCUGUCUUUCUAGAAUUAGUAGAAGCUCAUUGCUUGAAUGGAGAGCCGCAUGAGGCUGCUGUAGUACUGCAAGAUGCCAUUGAUGAAUUCUCUGGAACUCCUGAGGAACUAAGGGUCAUGAUUGCAAAUGCAGAUCUGGAAAUUGCUCAAGGAGAUGUUGAACAAGCCUUGACUAUGCUCCGAAGUAUUACACCUGAGCAGCCUUACUUUGUACAAGCUAAGCUGAAGAUGGCAGACAUCUAUCUGCAGUGCAGGAGAGAUAAGAAGUUAUAUGCCGCCUGCUACAGAGACCUAGUAGAAAAACUGCCAAGUGCUCAUACAUUUCUUCUUCUUGGUGAUGCAUAUAUGAAUAUUCAAGAGCCUGAUGAAGCCAUAGAAGUCUACGAGCAGGCUUUGAAGAAAAAUCCAAAAGAUCCAGCUUUGGCAAGUAAAAUUGGAAAAGCCUUAAUCAAAACACAUAACUAUUCAAAGGCAAUCAGUUACUAUGAGGCUGCCUUGAAAAGUGGUCAGCAGAAUUUUCUUUACUAUGACUUGGCUGAACUUUUAAUGAAACUAAAGCAGUAUGAAAAGGCAGAAGUAGUACUUCAGCAAGCUUUAGAUCAUGAGUAUGUUAAUGAACUGUCUUCUCUGAUGGAAGAUGGACGUUACCAGGUUCUGUUAGCAAAAAUUUACAGCAAAAUGGAGAAGAUUGAUGAAGCUAUCACUUCAUUACAGCAGGCUCGGGAAUUACAAGCCAGAGUACUUAAACGGGCUCAGACAGAGCAGCCAGAUGCAGUUCCUGCACAGAAACAGUUAGCAGCUGAAAUUUGUGCUGAGAUUGCAAAGCAUUGUACAGUUCAGCGAAACUAUGAAAAAGCAAUUAAAUUUUACAAAGAAGCACUUGUUCACUGUGAAACUGAUAAAAAGGCAAUGUUGGAACUAGCACGUUUGUAUCUUGCACAAGAUGAUAGUGACGCCUGUCAGCAUCAGUGUUCCUUGUUACUGAGGAGUGAGCAAGAUAACGAAGCAGCAACAAUGAUGAUGGCUGACCUCAUGUUCAGGAAGCAAGACUAUGAACAAGCAGUCUUUCAUUUCCAGCAGCUCCUCGAACGCAAGCCAGAUAACUAUGCCACUCUGUCACGAUUAAUUGAUCUGUUAAGAAGAGCUGGGAAACUAGAAGAAGUCCCAAGAUUUCUUUUAAUGGCUGAAAAACAUUCUUCUAGAGCAAAGCUCGAACCAGGCUUUCACUACUGCAAAGGACUGUAUCUCUGGUAUACAGGUGAACCAAAUGACGCACUCCGCCACUUUAAUAAAGCUCGAAAGGACAAUGACUGGGGACAGAAUGCAGUCUACAACAUGAUUGAAAUUUGUUUGAACCCAGAUAAUGAAACUAUAGGUGGUGAAGUCUUUGAAAAUCUGGAUGCUGACAUAGGUAAUUCAACAGAGAAGCAGGAGUCUGUGCAGUUGGCUGUAAGAACAGCAGAAAAUCUUCUGAAGGAACUCAAGCCUCAGACCAUUCAGGGCCACAUUCAGCUGCGAAUCAUGGAAAAUUAUUGUCUCAUGGCAACCAAACAGAAAUCAAACGUCGAACGAGCACUGAACACUUUCACUGAAAUAGUAGUGGCUGAGAAGGAUCAUAUACCAGCACUUCUGGGAAUGGCUACAGCCUACAUGAUCUUGAAACAGACUCCACGAGCUAGAAAUCAGUUAAAGCGGAUUUCAAAAAUGAACUGGAAUCCCAUUGAUGCAGAGGAGUUUGAAAAGAGUUGGCUUCUGCUUGCAGACAUAUAUAUUCAGUCUUCAAAAUAUGAUACAGCAGGUGAAUUAUUAAAACAGUGCCUUCGGCAUAACAAGUCCUGUUGCAAGGCUUAUGAAUACAUGGGAUACAUAAUGGAAAAGGAACAAGCGUAUAAAGAUGCAGCAAUAAAUUAUGAGAUGGCCUGGAGAUAUGGAAACCAAUCAAAUCCAACAAUAGGUUACAAGCUGGCUUUCAAUUACCUGAAAGGAAAGAGAUAUGUUGAUGCAAUUGCUAUUUGUCAUAAGGUCCUUGAAGCACAUCCAAACUAUCCAAAGAUCAGAAAGGAAAUACUUGACAAGGCCCGUGCAUCAUUAAGAGCAUAACUUUUUUUUUUUGAAGCUAAUUGACUUAUUAGUAUAAGGUGCCUUCAGAAACUGUUGCAGUGACAGAGACCGUAUCAACACAAAUGUAUUGUGAACAUGAUUAAUUUGCAUUGAAUUAGAAGUCUGGAUCAUUUUCAAGAAAAGUCUGCAGCCCUGGAAGGAACUGUAGCUAUUCAGCAGAAAAUACUGCUUGCAUGUAUGGUACAUAAAACAUCAUCCAGAAAUAAAAAAUAACAAAGACCACAAGCAUCUCUAUAGAAUACUGCCCAAGUGCAUUUCAGAUAAACACACAACUUGGAUUCUAGUGACUUACUGGAGAUUGAUAUAUAUCCUGAAUGCAAUGAUGCUACCUACUGGACAUUUCUAGAUCCUGCAUUCAAGGAAGUUCUGAGCUUUUGGUCAGCCAAACUAAAAUUAAUGGAAACUAACAGGUAACGGGUGUAUAAUACUUCUACAAGUUUGGUAUGAAAGAGUUGACAAAAGACUUGAGUAAGUGGCCUCUCCUUCCACAGAUAACCUUGAAGCUUGUGCUGUAAAUGUAUUUUUUUUUGUACUGAGCACAAUACGGGAAGAAAAUGACUUAGGUGAUUGAGGGAAACUGAUAGUAUGGGAGUAGGAAGAGGGACUUGGAAGGAUUUGAAGAAUGCUGAGGCUGGGAGGAGUUAUAAGGAAGCUGGCCUUUGGGAAUCAGAUUAUGAAUCCUUAAGCUGCUGGAUUUUUUUUUUUUUUUUCACUGGUAAAAGAUUAAGUGCAUAGGGCUCUUCAAGGCAGUUUCUAAUAAGAGAGCAUUUCUUUAUCCACAGACUUUUCUGUAUGAGAUCGAUGUCUUUCCGCUUGCUCCCUAGCAUUGGAAUAACUUAGCUCAAGUUUAGAAUAAAAAUAGAUACUUUUAUGUUGGUUCAUGCAAGACGUGUUCAAAAUAGGUAAAACUAAUCUGUAUCUACACCCACUUUUUUAUUUUAUUAUAAGCAUAAGAUGCAUAUUGCCAUUUCAUAAGAUGGUUCAUAAGAUGAUAUGAUGCAGAAAUUAGUUGAUAGAAAUUGGUCUUAGACUUGAAGCUUUUCCUUGCUAAUUUAUGGUGGAGAUUUUUGUUGAUUUUAGCAUGAAAGAAAAGAUUUCUGGAAUCCUGUUAGGCUUCCUGAACACAUCUAGUCACUAAUGUGCUUUUUUUAUGAGUUAAGUCUUUAAAAUAAGUGUGCAGUUGAGAAACAUCAUUAGAUUUCAAUUAAAGAAACGGUGGCUAUAAGUAAGUCUUUUGGAGGAAAUUUUGCUUUAAUAAAAUAUUAACAGAAGGGAAUGGUCAUCCCAUCCCCUUUUGGUUUGUGUAAGUCAGUUUAAGUUUUUAUCCUCAAUAUUUUUUUUCUUCUUUCAGUGCAGAAGGAAUGGUACUGUUUCAUUUCUCUUUUACUUUAAGCAUGAAUUCCAGCUUUCCUUCUGCUUUUACAGUUCUUAUUUUAAAAUUCAUGUCCUGGUAGCUUUUUUUCAGUCCCUUAAUAAAUGGCUUUGAAUGGAAGAGACUCCUGGAGGAUGAGAGGGAGGAUGGAGGGCAGUCAGUAAUGCUUGUUUCAAAGAGCUGCAGUCUUUAGCAUGAUGUUGCUUGGCAACCCAUCUUCCACUUUGCCUUUGUUGAAUAAAAGAGGAGAGCAAAGCUGUGGA